AGGUAACAGAAGUUGGGAGUGGAGGUAGACAAUUGCCCCCCAAAAGAAAACUCCCGAAAGAAAUUUAAUUUAGGGCAUUAAGCUUCAAUGGUCUGGUCUGCUGGUUACUGCGUAUCAUGAUCGGAGGAGCAAAGAGACAAGAGCGAGGCAAAGGGAAAGCUUAAUUAGCAAAAUAGAAAUAUGCCGCCAAAAAAGAGUAAGAAGAAUCAGAAUCAGAAGCAGAAUAAGCCCCACGCUUCGGCUUCCUCUGCUCCGAGGUUGCAGAUUUCGGCCGAUAACGAGAGCCGCCUCCGCCGCCUGCUUCUCAAUUCGGCACCUGCGUCUGCUCCACCGCCUCCCCCCGCCGUUGAUGAUGCCACGUCAUCCCUAACGAGGGCUCAGAAGGCCAAGAAGCUUAAAUCUCUUUACGAGAAGCUCUCUUGCGAAGGUUUCACUAAUCGCCACGUUGAGCUUGCUCUCUCCGCUCUCAAGGAAGCUGCUACUUUUGAAUCAGCUCUUGAUUGGUUAUGCUUGAAUUUGCCGGGCAACGAACUUCCGCUCAAAUUUUCUACUGGAACUUCCACUCAUUCCACUCAAGGGGGAUCUGUUGGAGUUAUAUUUAAUCCACGGGAUGGUUCGGCUUCUGCGGAAAAUGCAUCUGAUACGACUGAGGAGGAACAGGCGCCGGAAUUUUCUGUUUUAAUAGAGAGACAUUGGAAUGAUGAUAGUUUAGAUUCUGUACAACCAUCUCAAGCAGAUUGGAUAAAGAAAUAUGUUGAGCAACAGGAAGAGGAAGAGGAAAAGGAUGAAUCUAAGACUUGGGAAGAUGACAUUUGUUAUGGGGGUAGUGUCAGUGCCAAAAAGGAGUCCUGCGAACCUAGGCCAUAUGAUGUUAUUUCCAAGGAGUAUCUUGCUGCAAGGUUAGAAGCUGCAGAUGCCAAGGAGAACAAGGACAAAAAACGUCAGGAGCAGGCAGGCAAUGUCAUCCGGAAACUGAAGCAAGAGUUGUCUGCUCUAGGAUUAUCGGAUGAUGAUUUGGCCUUACAGUAUGAGCAACAAAUCGGUUCUAACUAUGAGAGAGCAUCAUCUGGCCUGUCUGGCCAUGAGCCCAACACAGGUGACACAGCAGGUUAUUCAGAAACUAAUUUGCCCUCUGGUGGAGCUGUAAUUGAUGGAAGUGAUGUAGGGCAUCGUAGCAUGGAGGAAAAUAUUGAUAAGUCUUCCUCACUGGUUGUACACAUUGAAGAAAAUUCUGUUGAAGGAGAGGCAGAAGAGGUGGAACUUGGUGGUUUCUUCUCCGAGGAUGUAUCAUCUAAUGAAAUAUUACCUCCUGAUGUUUUGAGACUGCAGAAAGAAGAAAAAUUUAAAAGACUUUUGGAAAGCAAGAAUUUAGAAAAUUUAGAUGGCAUCUGGAAGAAGGGUGAUCCUAAAAAGAUCCCAAAGGCAGUUCUUCAUCAACUAUGUCAGAAAUCAGGCUGGGAAGCUCCAAAGUUCAAUAAAAUUCUUGGCAGAGGGAAAAAUUUUGCCUACACUGUGACUGUAUUGCGUAAAGCUAGUGGGAGGGGCAAGAACCGAAAAGCUGGGGGACUGGUCACACUUCAGCUUCCAGAUCAGAAUGAAAUCUUUGAAUCUGCAGAGGAUGCACAGAAUAAGGUGGCAGCUUAUGCUUUGUUACAAAUGUUUCCUGACGUCCCAGUUCAUCUGCCAAUUACAGAGCCUUAUGGUUCUCUUGUUAUGAAGUGGAUGGAAGGAGAAUCAUUUGCCAAGCUAGAAGACAGUGAGGAAGAUCAUAGAACUAGUUUUGUGGAUUCAUUAUUAAAUGGUGAUGGUUCUGGUGCAUUUCCGUCUGUUGAAGUUGCAGAUCAUAAGUCUCAACAAACAGAUAAUUUGGAUAGACUCGGUGAAAAUAAAACUUCGGCAAUUGUCAGUCAUCAGCCACCUACUCAGAGAGAUACAUAUAGCAAGGAAAAUGAGAGUAAUUAUUUGAGACAGGUUCAAAUUAAUAAAAUGAAAACACGUAGAUACCAGGAUAUGUUGAAAAUGCGAGCUACACUUCCUAUUGCUGCAAUAAAAGCUGAUAUAUUGAAACUGUUGAACAAAAAUGAUGUUCUUGUUGUUUGUGGAGAAACAGGCUCUGGAAAGACAACUCAGGUUCCACAAUUUUUAUUGGACGACAUGAUUGAGUCAGGACAUGGUGGACAUUGUAAUAUUAUAUGCACACAACCAAGGAGAAUAGCGGCAAUUUCAGUAGCUGAAAGGGUAGCCGAUGAGCGGUGUGAACCUUCACCAGGCUCAGAGGGUUCCUUGGUUGGUUAUCAAGUUCGACUUGACAGUGCCAGGAAUGAGAGAACUAGGCUUCUGUUUUGUACAACAGGCAUCCUUCUCAGAAAAUUGAUGGGAGACCAAAGUUUGACUGGCAUCACUCAUAUCAUAGUUGAUGAAGUUCAUGAGAGGUCUCUAUUGGGUGAUUUUCUCCUAAUUGUUUUGAAGAAUCUAAUUGAGAAGCAGUCCACUGAAAGAUCAACAAAACUUAAAGUCAUUCUAAUGUCUGCUACCGUUGAUUCAAGUUUAUUCUCAAAAUACUUUGGACAUUGUCCUGUAGUUACUGCAGAAGGAAGAACUCAUCCAGUGACAACAUAUUUUCUUGAGGAUAUAUAUGAUCAGAUCGAUUAUCGACUUCCUUCGGAUUCUCCAGUUUCUUUGACAUCAACAUUUCGCAAGGAGCAGAAGUUGCAGAAAGGUCUUGUGACAAAUAGCAAGGGGAAGAAGAAUCUAAUGUUAUCGGGGUGGGGUGAUGAAUCUCUGCUUUCCGAAGAGAACACUAAUCCAUAUUUUGUUCCAAGUUAUUAUCAGUCAUACAGUGAACAAGCUAAACAAAAUCUAAAAAGAUUGAAUGAAGAUGUCAUUGAUUACGAUCUUCUAGAAGAUCUAAUAUGUUUCAUUGAUGAAAAUUGCAAUGAGGGUGCCAUCCUUGUGUUCCUACCGGGAGUCUCUGAAAUAAACCUUUUACAUGAUAAGUUGGUUGCCUCUUACCGCUUUGGUGGACCCUCUUCUGAAUGGGUUAUUCCAUUGCAUUCUUCGGUUGCAUCAACUGAACAGAAACAGGUGUUUUUGCGCCCUCCAGGAAAUACACGUAAGGUUGUUAUAGCCACAAAUAUAGCAGAGACCAGCAUAACAAUAGAUGACGUGAUAUAUGUAAUUGACUGUGGAAAGCAUAAGGAAAACCGAUAUAACCCACAGAAGAAAUUGUCUAGCAUGGUUGAAGAUUGGAUAUCUCAAGCAAAUGCAAGGCAGCGCCGGGGUAGAGCUGGACGUGUAAAACCUGGAACUUGCUUUUGCUUGUACACUCGUCACAGGUUUGAAAGUCUCAUGCGUCCUUAUCAGGUUCCAGAGAUGCUUCGGAUGCCAUUAGUUGAACUGUGUUUGCAGAUUAAGUUACUGUCUCUUGGUCAUAUUAAGCCAUUUUUGUCCAAGGCUUUAGAACCUCCAAAGGUUGAAGCAAUGAGUUCAGCAAUAUCCUUACUAUAUGAGGUUGGUGCUCUUGAAGGUGAUGAGCAGCUGACACCGCUUGGACAUCAUUUGGCAAAACUUCCUGUUGAUGUCUUAAUUGGAAAGAUGAUGCUGUAUGGUGCAAUAUUUGGUUGCUUGUCGCCUAUUCUUUCAAUCUCUGCAUUUCUAAGCUACAAGUCUCCAUUUAUAUAUCCAAAGGAUGAGAGGCAAAAUGUUGAAAGAGCAAAAUUAUCAUUGUUGAAUCACAAGGUAGACGGGCCAGGUGAUACCAACAAUGUUGAUCAGCAAUCUGAUCACUUACUAAUGAUGUUAGCUUAUAAAAGAUGGGAAAGGAUUUUGACUGAGAAAGGAGCUAAAGCUGCACAACAAUUCUGCAAUUCCUUCUUUCUGAGCAGCUCUGUAAUGUAUAUGAUAAGGGAUAUGAGAAUGCAGUUUGGAACAUUGCUAGCAGACAUUGGUUUCAUCACUCUUCCUAAAGAUGAUAAGUUGGAUCGAAAAAAGCUAGGGAGUCUUGACCGUUGGCUUUCUGAUGCAUCACAACCAUUCAAUGCACAUGCACAUCAUUCGUCAGUUGUCAAGGCUAUACUAUGCGCUGGUUUGUAUCCCAAUGUGGCAGCUAGUGAACACGGUAUUGUUGGAGCAGUUCUUAGCACCUUCAACCAGUCUUCUAACUCUGGAAAUAGUGGUCGUACAGUCUGGUUUGACGGAAGAAGAGAAGUUCAUAUCCAUCCUUCUUCUAUCAACAGUAACACUAAAUCCUUUCAAUACCCCUUUCUCAUCUUCCUUGAAAAGGUUGAAACAAACAGAGUAUUUUUACGCGAUACUUCUGUUGUUUCUCCAUACUCCAUUUUGCUGUUUGGGGGGUCAAUUAAUGUUCAGCAUCAGACUGGACUUGUAACAAUUGAUGGGUGGUUGAAACUGAGUGCACCUGCACAAAUAGCUGUGUUAUUCAAGGAGCUAAGACAAACUCUACAUACCUUUCUGAAGGAGCUUAUUCGAAAACCGGAGGAGGCGCUCAUGCUCAAUAAUGAACUCAUCAAGUCCAUCGUCACUUUGCUGUUAGAAGAAGGAAGCCCUAAAUGAUUGAUCAAUCCACUUCAAAAAGCCGCCAUAGCGGCACUGGCAGAAUUUUCAAGAAACCGCUAUAGCACCAGAGAAAUUCCUUUAUACACCAUGAACUAUCAAUAUCAACAACUCACCAACAAAGUGAUGGUUUUAGCAUCUGAAGUUCAAGAUUCCUCUCAACUAUUUAUAUGAGGGAACAAAUCUGCAUCAUCCAACUGAUUAGCCACUUGUUUCUUUUAAAUUUGAUUAGUCUAGAGCAUAAUGUAUUUGGUGUCUCCACAAGUAAAGAAAAAUAUCUCCCACAUUAUGUUCAUACAUGUUUUUCCUUAGGAAACAAGUGAAGCUAGAUUACUUGAUUCAUUAAACAGAACCCAAAAAUAAAACCGAAAAAAACGGGUUGAUUCUCGAAGCGUCAAAUUCAAACACGUUGCAAGUUCAAAUUAGUAAUUACAACAUCAUAAAGAAAAAUAGAACUUUGACCAAAAAAAAAAAAGAAGAAAAAGAAGAGGACACUAGAACAAGAAGAGUGAUUAUGACCAAGUAAGUUAGAUUCGGUUCCUCUGGAAAAAAAAUGUUGCUUCGAUUGGUAGAAUUAAUUUAAUUAACUAAUCCACUUUAUGAAAGUCGCAAGGUUUAGUGCGAGUAAAUCGUGAAUAAAUGGGGUAUGUACCAACCAUAAAU